CUUUGACAAAACUUCAAUCCAUACUUCACUCAUCAAUUUCCUCACACAACAGACAACACAGACACACACAUUCGCUGACUAUAAACAUACAUGCAUACAUACAUAGUUGUGGUCGAAAAUCCCAACCUGGUCUCUGUUCCUUGAUCCCCCACAGCUUCAUUCUCCAAUCAGAGGAUAUAGAGAAAGUAAGAAGCUAAGAAUAGAUUAUGAGUCGGUCGCGCAAAGAUACGAGUAACUGUGGGGAUGGUAGUAGCAGCAAUGAAUCUCGUGAAGCUGGAGAAGGGACAAGUGAUCUUGAUCAUGAAAUUGCACAGCUCACAAAACUUGGGUCAAGUCCCCAUGAGCAUUUGGGUCGUGUUGGUCCCGGUAGGAUGAAGCUACCUGCAUCAACUGUGAGAAUGUUAGCGGGUAGAGAAGGUAAUUAUUCUGGACGGGGGAGGUUUUCAGCAGCAGAUGGAUGCCAUGUGUUAAGCCGCUAUUUGCCGACGAAAGGUCCUUGGAUUGUGGAUCGGAUGAAAAGCCGUGCCUAUAUUUCGCAAUUUUCAGAUGAUGGUUCUCUUUUUAUUGCUGGAUUCCAGGGAAGCCACAUCAGGAUAUAUGAUGUUGACAAGGGGUGGAAAGUUAAGAAGGAGAUCUCCGCUAGAAACUUACGGUGGACAAUUACUGAUACUUCUCUCUCACCAGAUCGACAAUAUCUUGUUUAUGCUAGUAUGUCACCAAUUAUCAAUAUUGUCAAUGUGGAAUCUGCCACAACAGAGUCAGUAGCAAAUGUUACAGAAAUUCAUCAUGGAUUAAAUUUCUCUUCUGAUGAGGAUGGGGAUGAAUUUGGGAUUUUCUGUAUCAAAUUUUCAACAGAUGGGCGGGAGCUUUUGGCUGGAACUAGUGAUAGCUCGAUAUAUGUAUAUGAUCUCGGAGCAGAUAAGCUUAGCCUUAGAAUUCCUGCUCACCUGUCUGAUGUUAACACUGUCUGCUUUGCUGAUGAAUCUGGACAUAUCUUAUAUUCUGGAAGUGAUGAUAGUUUCUGCAAGGUGUGGGAUAGGCGUUGCUUUGUCUCAAAAGGACAACCAGCUGGUAUCUUAAUGGGACAUUUAGAAGGCAUUACAUUCAUUAAUAGUCGUGGGGAUGGCCGCUACUUAAUAUCUAAUGGAAAGGAUCAAACAACCAAAUUAUGGGACAUAAGGAAGAUGACUUCGUCUUCUAAUGCCGUAAACAGUAUGGGCCUUGGAGAUGACGAGUGGGACUACCGGUGGAUGGACUACCCUGAAUAUGCAAGAAAAAGAAAGCAUCCUCAUGACCAGUCAUUGUCAACAUACAAAGGCCACUCAGUGUUGCGCACUCUAGUUCGCUGUUAUUUCUCACCAUCAUAUAGCACUGGUCAAAAAUACAUUUACACCGGGUCCAGUGAUUCUUCUGUCUUCAUAUAUGACCUGGUGACUGGAGCUCAAGUUGCAAAACUUGAUCAUCAUGAGGCACCUGUUCGAGAUUGUAGCUGGCAUCCUUACUAUCCAAUGAUGAUCUCUUCAGCCUGGGACGGUGACAUAGUUAGGUGGGAAUUUCCUGGAAGUGAUGAAGCCCCUGCUCCUCGAAACAGAAGAGCCGGUCGAAAUCGCAUAAUUAGAGAAUUUAGGUGGAGCCUGGAGUGAGGUAUGUUGGCAUAUGGUGCAUUGGUGAGAGAAGAUAAACAACCUGCAAUACAAGUGCUCGUGUGUGCCUUGAAGAUUAUGAUUGCAGCAUGCUCUUGGAUGACCUUUCUAUUCCAAAACAAAGGGUGAAAGUGCAUUCUCCAUGAGACUGAUUGGCCAUUGCUUUCUUCAACUCAUAAUUUCCUAUUAUAAACUCCAUUCUCAGAUUAUUUAUACUUAGUUUUUUUUGGUCAA